GACGAACGCUGGCGGCGUGCUUAACUCAUGCAAGUCGAACGAUGAAGGAGAGCUUGCUCUCCGGAUUAGUGGCGAACGGGUGAGUAACACGUGACUAACCUGCCCCUUUCUCUGGGAUAACGCUCCGAAAGGAGUGCUAAUACCGGAUACGAACUCUGAACACAUGUUCGGAGUUGGAAAGUUUUUCGGAAAGGGAUGGAGUCGCGGCCUAUCAGCUUGUUGGUGAGGUAACGGCUCACCAAGGCGACGACGGGUAGCCGGCCUGAGAGGGCGACCGGCCACACUGGGACUGAGACACGGCCCAGACUCCUACGGGAGGCAGCAGUGGGGAAUAUUGCACAAUGGGCGAAAGCCUGAUGCAGCGACGCCGCGUGAGGGAUGAAGGUCUUCGGAUUGUAAACCUCUUUCAGUAGGGACGAAGCGAAAGUGACGGUACCUAAAGAAGAAGCACCGGCUAACUACGUGCCAGCCGCCGCUGUAA
rnacentral:rRNA from 1 species